rnacentral:rRNA from 1 species
GAAUCUUGCGCAAUGGGCGAAAGCCUGACGCAGCCAUGCCGCGUGAAUGAUGAAGGUCUUAGGAUUGUAAAAUUCUUUCACCGGGGACGAUAAUGACGGUACACGGAGAAGAAGACCCGGCUAACUUCGUGCCAGCAGCAGCGGUAACACGAAGGGGGCUAGCGUUGCUCGGACGUACUGGGCGUAAAGGGCGCGUAGGCGGAUCGUUAAGUCCGAGGUGAAAUCCCAGGGCUCAACCCUGGAACUGCCUUUGAUACUGGCGAUCUUGAGUAUGAGAGAGGUAUGUGGAACUCCGAGUGUAGAGGUGAAAUUCGUAGAUAUUCGGAAGAACACCAGUGGCGAAGGCGACAUACUGGCUCAUUACUGACGCUGAGGCGCGAAAGCGUGGGGAGCAAACA